rnacentral:rRNA from 1 species
GUGAGGAAUAUUGGUCAAUGGGCGGAAGCCUGAACCAGCCAUGCCGCGUGAAGGACGAAGGCGUUCUGCGUUGUAAACUUCUUUUAUAAGGGAAGAAACCUGCGAUAUCUAUUGCGGCCGACGGUACCUUAUGAAUAAGCACCGGCUAACUCCGUGCCAGCAGCCGCGGUAAUACGGAGGGUGCAAGCGUUAUCCGGAUUCACUGGGUUUAAAGGGUGUGUAGGCGGGCUUGUAAGUCAGGGGUGAAAUCCUACAGCUUAACUGUAGAACUGCCUUUGAUACUAUAGGUCUUGAAUAUUGUUGAGGUGGGCGGAAUACAUCAUGUAGCGGUGAAAUGCUUAGAUAUGAUGUAGAACACCGAUUGCGAAGGCAGCUCACUAAGCAAAUAUUGACGCUGAGGCACGAAAGCGUGGGGAUCAAACAGGAUUAGAAACCCGAGUAGUCC